AGGUAGGUACGUACUUUCGCGAAAUGUAUAUACAUAUAUAUACAUAUAUAUAUAUACUUACGUCACGUGUAUACUCCGUCGCGGCGCAAGAGAUAGGGGAUUUAACAAUCGGCGACGGAAUUGCGUAAUUCCGUUGCACACGAGACGGCGAUUUUAUUUUCUUUACUUUUCUUUUCGUUAGCUCGACGGCGAUGCACACGGCCUUGGCGGCUCAUCGGCAUCGGAAUCAGCGUGCAAGGGGAGGACGUUUGGGGGUGGUCGUGGGAUAGAUAGGGGGGUGUUUAGCCGAAGGUAGGGAGCCAGCCAAAAUAACUGACGAUCGAUAAGUGCAAAGGGGUCCGUCCGUCCACCCCUUCUUUCGUAGCCGACCCUUAUUUCCCCUACUAUUUUCUCUUUCCUCUUCUUACGUACGUACGUAACACAACGUAGCUCGACCACCGCCAUUUCUAUUCCCCACUUCCACUUCCAUUUCAACCUCCGCGCUUUAACUGCACCCCCGCAGACGUCUGUAUAACGGAUUCUUCGCUAGGCGCGUCGACUGCGUUAAGGUCGUUGCUGCUGCUGCUGCUGCUGCGAGGGGUGGCGAAGAGGCGAGGGACCGGAAUAUUUAUUCCGUGCUUUGGGGCAGUCCCCUCUUUAUUUUAUAUGGGCUGCUGCUGCUGUUGCUGUUGCUGUCGCGCGGUACGAUACGAUCUAUAAUUUUUAUAUAGGGUCACUGUAUUGCCCUAGCAACACGGUAUAGGUACGAUACGUGUAUCCACCCUUAUGGGAUACAUGCAGCUAAGCCAAAUUGCACGGUAUUUUCCUCACCUCGACGACUACGAUUUCGAGUUUGAGAAAGUUGGACGAUUGGAGGUAGAGGGGAGGGAAUUGCCUAUUUGUUUCUGUGUUUCAGGAUGUAUCAUUACACCCCCUACCCCAAGCUUUCGUUUCGGUUUCGCGACCCCGUAAAAAUACCACGCUAUACACGCGCACGUACGUUACGCAAUAUCGCGGUUGAAUCUUGAGGACCCUCAGAAAUUUAUCAGUUUUGAUUUAUUCCGUCUUUCUCAUUUCCCCCCGUUUAUAACACAGAAGUAAGCGCGACACCCCGAAACAAUAUACAUAUAUAAGUUGCGGUUCGCGUAUAAAUACACGUACAAUAUAUCAACUCGCGGGCGCGUGCAUGCGAAAAAAAAAAAAUAAAAAAGAAUAAGGGAAAUCGAGGGGAGUGCCGAAAAUAAACGUUGUUAAGGGUUAAGGUGAAAGAAAGACAAAAAAAAAAAGAGAGGGAAGGGAAGGGAAGGAAAAGUAAAAAGUGUGGGAGGGUAAAAAAAGCGCGUGGAGAAUUAACUCGACGGAUCGUUGCCCGUUGGUACGUACGUACGUACACCGUAUCAAGCGACUUUGCAGUGGUCGCCAACGACCCUACAGACGACAGGGCGUCACCUUAUAGCUCGUUCUUACGGCGCCCGUCGUCCCGACGCGUCGCUUUCGAGACUGCAACUCUCUCGGAAGAUUUACGGGCAUUUUUUAGGUACGUGGCGAACUGGCAACCAAAACAAUUUUUAGAAAACUUUUCCACCUUAAUUCCCUAUCUUACCCGUCACAGAACUUUUACGCGAAACUUUCUCGCAACUCUUUGUAAAUUAAUCCUCCUGUUUUUCUCUCCUGGUCUUGAAAUAAGACCGAUUACACUUAUAUAUACGAACCCAACGUGUUGUAUAUAGUCCUUUCAUCUCGAAUCUGAUAAUUUAUUUAUAUUUCCGAGGAAAAGAAAGAGGAUCUCCUUUACUCGGUUUUACUUCUUUUAUUUUCAUAUUCCCAGGACAACCCUUCGGGAUGUAGGGGGGGAAGAAUCGCGUUCUUGAAACAUGGCGGAGGAAAUUGACUCGGCAGGGCCCCUCCGCGAGUUUCAGGCCUAGCAAAUUUUUGGGUUCUAGUUAAAUACGAGCGGAUGAUAAUCCUUACGCCGGCUGAAUACACGCGGUGACAUAUUAUUUUCCAUGUAAUACAACGACGUGAAAAAGCUCGCUGUGCAGGCGACGUGUCUGAGCUGCCUUGAGAUAUAAUAUACACGAGUAGCGGAUAUAAACUUUGGCGCCGGUCGAGUGAAUCACAUGUCGCGAAAUAUAAUGUGUAACGAACGCGAAACGAAUGAAAAAAGAGAAAAAAAAAAAAAAAAAUAACAAUAAGAUAAAAGUCGUUUUCCACAUCCGUCAGAUAAACAGUUAUUCGUGUAUUGAAAUAAUUAAUCAUCUUAUGAAUUAAGGAUCUAUAGCACCACAGAAAAAUUCUCAGGCAAGCAUGACUUGAUGUGGAAAGCUCAAUAGUGAAAAAGAAAUGUAUAUAUGAUUUUUAAAUAUGUUUAUAAAAUUCAAGAGAAUGAAUUUAUUAUAUAAACACUAUAUUUGAAAGCGGCAUAUGCAGGCCAUUGCGUUGCACUUCGGGAUACUAUCGAGUGGCAUUCCAUACCUAAAUGCGAGGCAAGAAAAAGAGAAAAAAAACUAAAAAAACUAGAAAACUAAAAAAAACAGUAGGUAACACAGAAAGAAAAAAGUUAUCUCUUUACCUUGUGUAAAAUACGACGAGUCCUUAAAGUGGACUCGCCGCACAAACGAGUGGGCAUUACAGAUAUUGGUUUUCAACGUUGUGAGUCUAGGGUUCGUUGAAAAACAAAAAAAGAGACGGACAAUUUCUACGCAUAGGAAAGAUGUGUAACAUAUCGGGUGGGCGUGCGAAAAAUAUAUAGAUUUGUAAAUUGCUUUUGGCCCGCACAUCGUGCAUAGGUAAUCCUCUCGUACGUAAUAAUUACGUAUUAAUUACGCAAAGUAACGAUAUUACACAGUAGAUACGAAAUUAGACCGAACGCUAGCGAGAAAAUAGAGGACACCGGGUAUUUUUGAACAACGUAUAUAUAUAUGUACACAACAGGCCUCGUCCAGGUGUUGGAGUUUUGGCUGUUAAAUGAUGUUUUCUCUUUGGCUUCGCGGACCACCCACGGACCAACUCGCGUACCAAUGACUCGUAUAAUCUCCCAUAGGUGUAGUCGAAAGAAGACGCGAAAUUAUCGUAGAACUUAGUAGAGGUGUUUGAGAUCCAAUCGAACAAUAAUUUUGUAAGUUUAAAACGCAACAAGUUGCGUAGCGCUGUUGCGAGUUAAAUGACUCGACACUAUAGGAUAUAGUGUGUGACGGAAAAAUUAAAUCCGCCCGCGGAAAUCGCGUGCCACAGGGGAGAUCCGGAAAACACAUACGUAACUUUAAGAAGCGGAUCGCGCGCUGUGUUUCAUCGGAUAAAUUUAGGUAGGUCAAGUGCUGCUGCUGCUGCUGCUGCUGCUGUUGCUUCGGCUUCUGCUCUGUGUGACGAAGAAAAUUAACCAGAGUCGAACAGGUGUUUCUGGCGCACGCUGUACAUGUGUAUAUACGUAGGGAAAUCACCGAACGCAUGCGCCAAAAUUGUGGCACGUGUCGCCGAAGACAAACGUCAGGAAGAACACGAGGACGCGACAGACAGCGGGGUGUAAUAUUUCUGGACGAACUCGAGAUACGCGACUUUUCAACCCCGCCCGCCCUUAAAGCGAUGUCCACACGAGAGACUGCGGAAAAUAGGGACUGAAAAGAGAAAGAAAAUGGGCGUUGGGCUUAUUUGCAUUCUGAUUCACUUGAUCCUCGAGUGUCCGUACGGUGUGAGAAAAUAGAAAAUCGAUCUGAGAAUAAGAAAAAAAAUCGUUAAAAAUCGAGGCCACAAAUUGUAGGCCGCUGAAUUAGAGAGGAUGUAAAUUUUUUCUGAACCGUAUCAUAACACACCUAUAAUUUGACAGACUUGCGACUUUUUUUUUUUUUCGUUCUAAUUUUUUUAAAUCUUUUUUUUUUUCUAUUUUACAUAACCACCGGGUUCGUGCGACGCGAUAACUCUUCCCUGUACCCCGUUCAACAUUUUUUGUAAUAUAGAUACUUCCGUUCGGAGCCAUUAAAGUUAGAAAAAUGAAAGAGAGGAAGGACCAAAAAGAAAAAAAAAAAAACAAAAAAAAUGGGAUAGCUGGUCGCGAGUGGACGGUAGAAAUAUUUUACGAACCUAAACGCUACCCUUCGGUAGAACCUCUGUAUACCAGCUAUGAGCUCAGAUUUCACGAUUGCUGUUUUAUUUUUCAAGUUUUUUUUUUUUUUUUUCUUUUUUUCUCAAUAUUUCUGAUGCGCAUCGUGAAUACCGUAAUCAUAGAGUAGGCCGAUAAAUCAUAUGGGCGCGCGCCCUCGGGCUGUUUUAAGUAUUACGUAUUAUUACUACCUGUUUCGCAAUUAUUAGUAACCUAUAGGAAUAUGUACGCGAUCGAGAAAAACAAAUCUUUUGUACAGAAGCGAAAAUUAAAAAUCAGUUCCGGUAAUCAUUUUAUCGGAUUCUCAUUGUCCGUUGUGAGAGCACCUUAAUUUGUGCGAUUCGAAGUUGCGCUUGGUCAGAGGUGAGGUAAGCCGCCGGUUGAUAUAGUCCAGAAAAAGCACCGACGCUGCGAGCUACAGGCGACGCGACGUGCGCCGUCACGAAAGACGACGUUGGAGCGUCGCGUCCCUGUGGAUAAUAUGUAAUGUAUAAUAAGCUUUGCGCCUCUUUAGAAAUUCGAUAUCGUACACGAGACGAGAAAUGUAAAAAUGACGGAGAAAAUCUUCCUCGUUUUUCGGAGAAGGCGGGCGAACGGGUUUUUCUGCAGUUGAACGACCUCAGUUUCAUUUUUUCUAUACCCUUUCUUCGCUAAUGAAAAUUCGCGGAAUUUGCGUACAUUGAAAUUUGGAAACAUUGUGAACCGAAACGCGAGAAGCGAGAAACGAUCGCGUAACCAGCGACGAUUUUCAAAUUUAUUUCCAGUGCUUUUUUUUGCUUCGGUUGAAUUUUUACACACAGGUAUACCUAUAUACGUAUACACCGCUGCGCCGAUUUCCCAGACAAAGUGGCAUCAGCCCCAACCGCAAUUAUAGUUGGCUUAAAAUAACCCCAACGCGGUUCUUGCAGCGGGCAGUCGACCACCGCGAAGUUCGUCACUUCGACGCUGGCAUAUUGAAUACAAAAAAAAAAAUAGAUGGAAAAUACCGAAAAGUUGAAGCGAAGACAAUACGAAAAACUUGGAGAAUGAAAUUGGCUUUCCUCCCAUCGCUGGAGAGCUUUCCUAAAAAAAAGAAAAAAAAAAAACCCUCUUCGCUAAAUUCGGUCGGUACAGUUGACGUUUCUCUUAUAUUUAUAUUCUGAAAAGUCUUUGGGAGUUUUAAUUUUGUUUCAGUUACGUAAAUCGUUGAUCUACAACCGUUUUUACGUGCGUAUAAUACUUUCUUUUUAGUUUUAUUAGAACUCGGGAAGUUUCGGUGACCGUAUUUAAUAUUUUAGCAAUAUAUCCAACGAUCAGAGACUAGCCGGUGUGUGGUGUUGGCAGUAGAAUCUUAGUUGCCAGAAUCAACGCGGCGCGGGCUGGGGGUUGGAAAUUUGCCAAAUAGGAUAGCCGCCUGGUAAAAGGGUGACGCGUGGCUGAGAUAGAUCUUUCGUGAACCACUGGAAAGCACAUCUUGACUCUCGCAAGCUUAAGAAACUCACGCAGCGACUUCAAGGUCCGUCCAGGUCCGCGUACGGACGAGGAGAAAUAUAAAUUCUUACGUCAUUCCUGCAUGUUGACCCCAAACGCCUUCCUUUUUUUCCUUCAUUUUCCUAUUUAUUUUUUCUUCGUAGACAAUUUCUUAUUUAUUUAUUUUUUCUCUCAUGCACGACGGACGUGUGCAUCGGUCGAUAAUUGACAAUGAUGCAUGUCCGCACAUGCCUAUAUACCUAGGUAAAUUAAACCAGAAGCGGAAAACUUUAAACAAUCCAUUACCGACAUUCUUGCGGGCGAAGGUCGUCGGCGAUUCGCGUAUUGCAACAAAUAAUUAUUUACAAUUAUCGUUAAAUGAUUAAGGUGGCUUUGUCCCCUCGGGGAUAAGUAUAUCCUAUUAUUUAUUGGAAAACAGAAAUUGAAUUAAAAAUAGAAUACCUUUACCAUAUGUAUGGAAUUUCCUGGAAAUUUGUCGUACGUGCAAACCAUAGUUCGUGUAUUAUAUAUACAUAGAUAAUUUGAUGAGAAAAUUCCUAGAUAAUUAUUUCGUCGGUGAAUUCAUCGGGAUAAAUUAUUCAUGUAGUUCGUGGUUAUACAUCUAUAGAGUCUGGUGUACGCAGACGUUCGCGUUUUACAUACCUAUAUCGUACCUAGUAUAUGUAUGUAUAUUGUACAUAAGUAAAACGAUACAAACCGUCCCAACGUCGCAACGUAACGACGAACCGAGCAAAUGGUACAAACACCUGAGCUAACAGAGUUCUAUCGACCAACGCUUUAAAGGCGUCUGUCUAAUCUUUGUUCUCUCUUUUUUAUCUGUUUCUUUUUUUUUCUUUCAAGUUUCCCCUUCCAUUUAUGAGCUUGUAGUUCCUCUCGCGCGACUCCGAUUCCCAUUGUUCGCCGACAUUACAUCCAUUUCAAAUAGGUACUUGCUAAAACCAGCUCACCUCACUUUCCGCGUGUGUCCUGCAACUUUCAGGGACGCGAGUUUUUCACGAUUGCAAAUUUUUUCCGGAUACGAACCGCGUGCACAUACCUACGUACACUGCGGAUAGAACAAAAAACCGGUCUAACGCAAGACGUACGCUUCGAAAUUGUUUUUCAAUAAUUUGUCGCAUUGCGAAAAAAAAAAAAUGCGUCGAAAUGCGGCGUCGUUUACUUGAAUUCGAUUCGAGUUUCGAUUUUAUCGCAAUGCAAAUUUUAACGUCGCGCGAUAAGUUCGUCCCUGGGCAUGCAUCGGCCACGUGCAGCGCUAGACCACCUGCAACAGUAGCCGAUGUUUUAGUACAGUAAGUUCAACUUCAGCAGCUCCAGCUUUAGCUGUAGCAAAAGCAGCGGCGGAUCUUUGUUGCAGGCGCAAUAAGUGCAGCAUGUAACCGUUGCCAACACCGCGUGCGAGUCAAAUUCCAAAGAAAACAAGUUAGCGUUGUGCCAACUGGAGAUCGCCGGGGACGGGGACAGGGACGAAACGGAAUUGGCAAGGUGUUCCGAAAUGCAAUGUUUGCCUGGAAAUAUGGAGAACCGGUCCAGAGCCCGCUAUCUCUCGCUUGUUGCAAGGAUGCUGCGAGGGUAUAUGGGUAUAGGUAUAGAAUAAUGCCGUAUGGGACGAGAAACGGGACGAGCCGAUGGCCGGUGGUGUUUGGCUGCGAACCAAAAAUUCUGACACUGACUGAUAUACAAUCGCGCGGAACGCCUAACUGCCAUACUGCAAAACAGCGCGAAGCUUUGUGUAAUAAUAUCGUUUCUAUUCCCUCCCUCUUCUAAAAGUCUACUUUUUUCCAUUUUUUUUUUAUUUUUGAACAAUUUUUUUUCCCCUUAUGAUUUAUGAUACGCGUUCCAUCAACUUCGAUAUCAAAGAAAUAUCCGCAACACGUGCGCCACGCGCGUUUCGCGCACACUUUCGUACGCCUCGAAUUUUUCAACGGAUUUUCAAAAACGUACCAAUGGCGAAUCGAAAAAUUUUAUUUCAUUUUUAUCUUUCGAUAUGGAGGUAUGUGAUCAGAAGUUUAGAGAGAACGUUCCAAGGAGAUCCAUCAACGAUUUUAUCUCCCUGAAAAAGUCGAGGCUGGAAAAAAGUUUUUUUAACCACCCCGAUAUUCUUCUUCCCAGAAACUAUCAAUCUGGUGUCCGUGGACACAAAACAUACCGAAAUCCUUGACCGAAAGCAUCCGACGUUCCAUGGUAUGCGCGGGUUACUUGUGUACAGUUUAUGGUAAAUAACCGGCAUCAUUCAUUAAAAUAUAAUAUGGAAUAAGAAUGAAAUCUCUCCGGUUGUCCAUCAGUCUUUCCCUCCUAUAUUUUAUGCUCUAUUAAUAAAGCUCGAAUCUACAUAUAUAUAUACGUAGACGGAAAUAACAUACGGCGCAUACUCCACAUGACGAUGAUCACCAUCAUCAUCAUCAUCAUCAUCAUCACCAUCGUGGAUACGCGACAGCUGGGGGGCUGGCUAGAACGAACGAACAAACGAACGAACGAACGGACGGACGAACGGACGAACGAAUGAACAUCCAUUUGACACGUUGGGCUAUUUGACCCGAAGAGAUCAAGGGUUAUAACGAACCAGCGUAGAAGGUCCUUACAAACACGCGCAUUACAUACACAGUGAUUGCUUCGAUCCACCCGACCGUGGAUCGCUGUGUAUUUCAUAGAUCGCUUUUACGGCUCUUCGUAGUCUGUAGCAUACGUAUCGUCCGUACAACUGUUGCUGCCGCUGCAUGAGCAACAUUAACUUACAGUGAGUCACGAGCACGUGGUACGAGACUGGUAACAAAUUACCACCGACCCAUGGCAUCGGUUCGAAACGUACCGAACAAUAAGGGUUCGGAAGGGUUUCUUGGGAUUCGAAACGAACGAGGAAGUGGGUUACGGUAUUCGUUUUGGAAUAUUUGCGGAACGAGACGAGGAAAGUCCAGAGGCUAACACCAGCCUCGUUUCAACUUCUCCCUCCACGUCUCUGGGGUCCCUCUUGUAACCCGAAUGUUUACGGUGCUCAAGCACGUUUCACCAUAUUUCUACGCAAUCUGACGACCCAGGAAAUCGACAGUUCCACGGACUCGCUUAACAGGACCAGUGCUAACACGACGACGUCGCACCCACCGAUGAGCAUCUCUUCACCUUUAACAGGAAGUGUAUUCACGUUCACCAGUUUUCAAUUUAGACAUUAUUUAUGAUACACAUAUAACGAAUAAUCAAUGACGUAUGGAUAAUUCAUUAUGUCCUCAUGUCUAGUAUUUAUUGAAAUGACUAAUUGUAAAUCAAAAACGUAAUAUUGAAAUGAAAAUACAUCUUGUGAAUGAUAAUGGAACGUUCGUAAUUUAGUCACCGAUAUUGUAACAGAGCAAUUGUUGAAUUUAUCUUUCCUGCGUAAUGUAUCAAUAAACGAACGUUCAUUCUGAA